GAAGGUGUGCUGUGAGGCAUGCUGGAGGUAUCAGAAGUGCGAAUGCUGACAUAAGUAACGAUAAAGCGGGUGAAAAGCCCGCUCGCCGGAAGACCAAGGGUUCCUGUCCAACGUUAAUCGGGGCAGGGUGAGUCGACCCCUAAGGCGAGGCCGAAAGGCGUAGUCGAUGGGAAACAGGUUAAUAUUCCUGUACUUGGUGUUACUGCGAAGGGGGGACGGAGAAGGCUAUGUCGGCCGGGCGACGGUUGUCCCGGUUUAAGCGUGUAGGCUGACUUUCCAGGCAAAUCCGGAAAGUUAAGGCUGAGGCGUGAUGACGAGGCACCACGGUGCUGAAGUGACAAAUGCCCUGCUUCCAGGAAAAGCCUCUAAGCAUCAGGUAACAUCAAAUCGUACCCCAAACCGACACAGGUGGUCAGGUAGAGAAUACCAAGGCGCUUGAGAGAACUCGGGUGAAGGAACUAGGCAAAAUGGUGCCGUAACUUCGGGAGAAGGCACGCUGACAUGUAGGUGAAGCCCCUGCGGGUGGAGCUGAAGUCAGUCGAAGAUACCAGCUGGCUGCAACUGUUUAUUAAAAACACAGCACUGUGCAAACACGAAAGUGGACGUAUACGGUGUGACGCCUGCCCGGUGCCGGAAGGUUAAUUGAUGGGGUUAUCGCAAGAGAAGCUCCUGAUCGAAGCCCCGGUAAACGGCGGCCGUAACUAUAACGGUCCUAAGGUAGCGAAAUUCCUUGUCGGGUAAGUUCCGACCUGCACGAAUGGCGUAAUGAUGGCCAGGCUGUCUCCACCCGAGACUCAGUGAAAUUGAACUCGCUGUGAAGAUGCAGUGUACCCGCGGCAAGACGGAAAGACCCCGUGAACCUUUACUACAGCUUGACACUGAACAUUGAGCCUUGAUGUGUAGGAUAGGUGGGAGGCUUUGAAGCGUGGACGCCAGUCUGCGUGGAGCCGACCUUGAAAUACCACCCUUUAAUGUUUGAUGUUCUAACCUGGCGCCGUGAUCCGGCGUGGGGACAGUGUCUGGUGGGUAGUUUGACUGGGGCGGUCUCCUCCCAAAGUGUAACGGAGGAGCACGAAGGUCAGCUAAUCCUGGUCGGACAUCAGGAGGUUAGUGCAAUGGCAUAAGCUGGCUUGACUGCGAGAGUGACGGCUCGAGCAGGUGCGAAAGCAGGUCAUAGUGAUCCGGUGGUUCUGUAUGGAAGGGCCAUCGCUCAACGGAUAAAAGGUACUCCGGGGAUAACAGGCUGAUACCGCCCAAGAGUUCAUAUCGACGGCGGUGUUUGGCACCUCGAUGUCGGCUCAUCACAUCCUGGGGCUGAAGUAGGUCCCAAGGGUAUGGCUGUUCGCCAUUUAAAGUGGUACGCGAGCUGGGUUUAGAACGUCGUGAGACAGUUCGGUCCCUAUCUGCCGUGGGCGCUGGAGAAUUGAGGGGGGCUGCUCCCAGUACGAGAGGACCGGAGUGGACGCAUCACUGGUGUUCGGGUUGUCAUGCCAAUGGCACUGCCCGGUAGCUAAAUGCGGAAGAGAUAAGUGCUGAAAGCAUCUAAGCACGAAACUUGCCCCGAGAUGAGUUCUCCCUGAGACUAUAAGUCUCCUGAAGGAACGUUGAAGACGACGACGUUGAUAGGCCGGGUGUGUAAGCGCAGCGAUGCGUUGAGCUAACCGGUACUAAUGAACCGUGAGGCUUAACCUU
rnacentral:rRNA from 1 species